UACGAAGGGGGCUAGCGUUGUUCGGAAUUACUGGGCGUUAAAAGCGCACGUAGGCGGAUAUUUAAGUCAGGGGUGAAAUCCCGGGGACUCCAACCCCCGGAACGUGCCUUCGAUACUGGCGAGUCUCGAGUCCGGAAGAGGGUGAGUGGAACUCCUAGUGUAGAAGGUGGAAUUCGUAGAUAUUAGGUAAGAACACCAGUGGCGAAGGGCGGCUCACUGGUCCGGUACUGACGCUGAGG
rnacentral:rRNA from 1 species